rnacentral:tRNA from 1 species
AGCCUCGUAGCUCAAUGCGGAUAGAGCACCGGAUGGUUAAUCCGAAGGUUGCCAGUUCGAGUCUGGUCGAGGUAA